UUCUUUCAUUAGGUAUUUUUUUUUAUGUAAACCGCAUAUAAACUUUCGAAUAAAACCAAAUUCAAUCAAAUCGGCCCACGUAGAACAGAGAUAUCGUAAUAUCAUGUUAUGAAUCAUUCUGAAACGGUAGAUUUUUGUUCUGACUCUGAUUCUUCUUCAAGAAAAGUUUCGUCAACAUUCAAUCAAUAGAAACUAAGUCCGUUCGUCGACUUUCAAAAUCAUUCAGCAGGGUUCGUGGCGGCCGCUCAUUUAUAACCUGUCAAGUGUCAAAAGUUUUUACAUUAUUGAAUUAUUCUCGAUUUGUAAUUAAAAUGUGCACUUUUUUAAUUUUUUUAUACCAGCAAAAUGUUUUUAAUUUAGUAACAAAUUGCAGCCAGAGUCGUAAAGUGUUGAUGAUUAAUUUUAAUCACAAGAUAAGUUGCCUAAAUCUGAAUUGCUAGAUAUCUUUCUCCAUACCAGAAAACUGUUUUUAAUUUAGAUUUUAAUUUAUCCACACCAACAAACUGUUUUUAAUUUAGACUUUUUAUGUAGAGCUUAUAGAAAGGAAGGGGACUCAUAGGCUUGGAGGUUGUCCAAAGAAAGUUAGAAAUGAAGAAGCACUUCCUUUUGCACAAGUUUCUGAAAACUUGUAUAAUGCAUGUGCCAAAUAUAUUGUACCCAUAAAGUGUAAAGUGUCGAUCAAUAUUUCAAAAGACAUAGCAUUAAGAAAAUUAUGGCUGACUGCUUGCAAUGUAGAGCUCAUCAAAUUAGUGAACCACGGUAAAGGACCAGGGUGCGCGCCUGUAGGCAAACUAAUGAAUCGUGUACAGAUUACACGUAUAUACAGAUGUAUGUGCAGUUAAAUAGUCUGCUCAGAGAAGUUGUUGCAGUUAUGUACAAUAAAAAGAAGUGAGAUCCCCAUAAAAAACUUCACAAAAGUAAAAAAAUCACGCCAAGUACAUGAAAAAGUCUUUGUCUGGUAAUAUUAAAUUUAAGACAGCGAUUUUCAUGACAGCGAAUGGUCAUUACAUGAGUAUGGUAAAGGAUAAGGGCACAACAUGGAUAGCCAUUGAUGAUUUACGAAUAGAAAAAUAAACGGCCACGAAAAGCUAAAAAUGCAUACAUAUUUUUCUGUGAAAGGUGUUAGUUGUGGUUGUUGUUACAUUACGAUGUUCAAUAUGGCAUUCUCAGAUCAUUAAUGCUCAUACUUUCUCUCAUGCAGGCUCUCAGAUAAUUUGUUAGUUUAAAACUUCGACAAUAUGAGUCUACUUUCAUUAUUUUGCAUUUUAAAAUAAUUUGUAUUCAUCGACACCUUGACCUUGCCUGGCCACACCAAGUAUUUGACUAACAGACUGUGGACAUCUAGGCAAAUGUCUAAACAGUCUCAGCUUGUAGCUGAUAUGCUGUUAGCUUCUUCAUUUCAUCACCAAAGUGCGGUGCAGUCACUUUACUUGAGUUAUCAUUAGGGUCUGAAUGUCAGCACUGUUGAACACAUCAUUUUAACUGUUCAUAGUUGGAAAGCACCUUUAUGUACUUGGAGCUCAUUUCAAUUUCACAUUUUUUGUACUUUCUUGUAGUUUUUUAUGGGGAUCUUCUAUCUUUUUCUGAUUUAUUUGGUUAUACCCCUUUUCAUCCUAAACUUUUUCAUGUACUUGACGUCAUUUUUUUUACUUUUUUGAAGUUUUUUGUGGGAAUUUGCAUGAUAUGGAAGGGAAUAUCUAUUAAAUUGAAUUUUACCAUUUGACCUCUGCUUUUUUAUCGUCGCAAUAGUCACACUGCCCCCUUGGCAGAGAUAGGCGAAAUUUGUAUCAAGAUAAAACUUUUUAUGAGAUGUUCGUUAGAUAAAAAUAAAAAUUUGAAUAUGUAGUUUACGAAGCUCUCGACAAUUGUAUGUUAAAAUCCAUUUUCAGGAUGCAGACGAAAAUAUAGGUACAAUUUUUAAAUGAGAAAAGUAAUGUGCAAUAUGAAAUUGAGCAAUGUAAUUUGCAAGUGAAUUAAAUAAUCGAAAGAAGAAACAAAUUUACAUUGUUGCUAUGAAACGACCUAAUACGAUUGAUUCAAACAUUUUUAAACUUCGGUGCUAAAAGAAUUUUAUCGUUAAUUAUUUUCGCUUUCUUUUUAGUUUACUUAAAAUUUACAUUGUUUCUAUAACGUAACCCAAUAUGAUUGAUUAAAACAUUUUUAAACCUCAAUGGUAAAACAAUAUCAUGAGCAUUUCUAAUUACUAGGUACACAUCUUUUGAGGACACGAAAAUUUAUAUUUUCCAUAUUAUUAGACACAAAUUUUUGUUUAUAAUGUUCAAUUAACGUAAUUAGCAGUAUGUAAAUUUACUCAUUAACCGUAUUGGUAUUAAUAAGUUCUUUAGAUUAUCUAACUUAUUACGAAUUAUGUUUCUUUGUUUCGUCUUACACAUUGUUUCUUCCAUUUAUAGAUUAAGAAAAAUAUUUCGUUCUUAUUCUGAAGAUUCAUGUAACCGAAAAUGUUAAUCUUAGGAGACCAUACAUUUUGAUUUAAAUUCAAACAUAGCACACUGAACUAGAAUUCGAGUUGUGGAAUCAAUGUUAAAAAGUAAUCUUGUACCUUUUAAAAGAACAUUGAAACUUGCACCUCUCAGAAUUACGUUAAAUUUUACACAUAGAAAUAUUUUUUAACUAAGACUCCAACUCCAGUGUUAGUACUCUUCAGUUUCGCGUAUUCGCUAUAUAAAAUUUUGAGAGAAAUCUCAAUGUUUUCUCUUGUUAACGUUUCUCAAAAAAGAGGGCACCACUUGCUAGAAGGCGUAACAGCUACUUUCAGUGUAAAAACUGAUAAUUCUAUUUAUGUAUGAUGUAGUAUCAUUUUUUUAAAGACUUUCUUUUCUUAUUACAAAUCGUGACUGAAUAAUUUUUCUAUACUCAAUGAAUACAAAUUUUAAUCACUCAAUUAAUAUUAAAACUGAAUACAAAAAAUUUUUUUUUAAAUAAUAACUUUACAUUUGUACAAUAAAACCUACUUUGGAACUAAAUGAAAUAAAUAUAACAAAAAUUGUUUUUCUAUAAAUCUGGGACACAGAAAUUUGUCUCUUGUCUGUUUGCUCGAAUAAACACUGUGCAAACAAUAUACCCUAGGUUCUAAAAUUGUGCCUACCUCUGCCCCUUGAUGAUACCGCAAAAUUAUCGUCUGAACACGCGAGAAUUAUUAUCAGUCGAUAUUACACGUCUGUCGCGAAUCAGAAUAUUUAUGGCCAAAGGGAACAAACGAUGAAUCAGAGUUGAGAUUUGGAGGAUCACAAAAUCUGCCUAUUAUCGAAUAAAUAUUAACAAUCUCCUCGUACUUAAAAAUACGUGAAGGUAUCGUUAUAUUUCUUUUGUAUAGGUUUCACGCGGAACGACCGAAUGAAAAAUAUCACGUGACACAAAAAGAAUAUCUCAACGCUUUGACGACCUUGUACGAUGGCUGUUAAGAACGCACACACCAGACCAGCUUUGUUUACGCCAUCAAGCGAGUACUCGGGACUGUUAUCGUAGCGAAACCGGUUCACUGUUGGAUUUAUUCGGUUUCGAUAUCGACUGUCGCUGGGGGAGUUCAAGAAGGCAACUCACGAUUAACAAUGACGUUCUUAGCUAGUUACAAAGAUUUUUCGGUUUGCCUUUUUCAUCAAUCGACACGAUGAUAAACAAAGGCUUAAAAAUAAUCGGAGGAAAGCUGUUAUUCUGGGAUAUCUCUAUUACCAAUUAAUUAAAUUUUCUCGGAGAUUUUUUCUUCAACAGUUCUGUGGAGUUUGAGUGUACGUCAAUCAUGCAUCGAAGUCGUGGUAAUUCUAAUUAGAUCUUUUGAUUAUUACUUUUCCUUUCUCACAUUAAACUGUACACCGUUUGUCGAAUUAUCCUUAUGUAUCCAAUAUAAUCAUUUAUUAAUUUCCUAAAUACAAGUACUUUGUUUAGUUCCGUAUUUCUAUUGCGCGCGUAUGAUAUCUCUGCGCACAAUUGUGUUCUCUUAUUCCCGUAGACGGACAAGAUACAAUCGUUUAUUUAACGUUCGGUGAAUUAGUUUAUAAUUUCACAUGGGAGGAGUACGAACUCCAGUAUGGUGUCAUGUGGGAUACAAUUAAAACGUAAGCGUAUCUUAAGUUCAUGAUGGACGAUAACUUGCGCAAUUGGUCGACUUUGAUUCCGUAGAAAA